GCCUAUAGCAGUUAAACAAGCUAGUAACCUGCUUAUAAAAUGUAGUUAUUGGAUGGCAAGGAAAUGGUUAAUGACAUGAACGUACAUGAGAUCAUGGCAUAUCACAACAUUUCACAUCAUACUAUACCACGUGAAUCAAGCAUUCAUCCAGGUUAGUCGUUCACCCUUCUGCAUCCGAAUCCACACCUAUAAUCCUUAAUUGAGAUUUAGGAUGACAAGCACGCAACUGGUUAAUG